rnacentral:rRNA from 1 species
AAUAUUGGACAAUGGGCGAAAGCCUGAUCCAGCCAUGCCGCGUGUGUGAAGAAGGUCGUCGGAUUGUGAAGCACUUUAAGUUUGGCGGAAGGGCAUUAAGUUAAUACCUUGAUGGUUUGACGUUACCGACAGAAUAAUCACCGGCUAACUUGUUGCCAGCAGCCGCGCUAAUACGAAGGGUGCAAGCGUUAAUCGGAAUUACUGGGCGUAAAGCGCGCGUAGGUGGUUUGUUAAGUUGGAAGUGAAAGCCCCGGGCUCAACCUGGGAACUGCUUUCAAAACUGGCAAGCUAGAGUAUGGCAGAGGGUGGUGGAAUUUCCUGUGUAGCGGUGAAAUGCGUAGAUAGAGGAAGGAACACCAGCGGCGAAGGCGACCACCUGGGCUAAUACUGACACUGAGGUGCGAAAGCGUGGGGAGCAAACAG